rnacentral:rRNA from 1 species
AGAGUUUGAUCAUGGCUCAGGACGAACGCUGGCGGCGUGCCUAAUACAUGCAAGUCGAGUGAGCGGAACUAACAGAUUUACUUCGGUAAUGACGUUAGGAAAGCGAGCGGCGGAUGGGUGAGUAACACGUGGGGAACCUGCCCCAUAGUCUGGGAUACCACUUGGAAACAGGUGCUAAUACCGG